rnacentral:lncRNA from 1 species
AGAGGUCCACCCCAACACUAGCUCCCAGACCAUGGAGAAACAGCCCACCAUUCACAGAGACUCUGAGACCCAGAAGCUACCCACCACCACAAGUGCCACGUCGGGGAAGCUGCUGCCGUCCGCAUCCGAGGAUGAGGCUUUCUACAGUGUGGCUUCACAGUACACUCUGGCAAGCCAGCCAAAACACACGGAUGUCCACUCCUCAUUCUGGAAGAGCCCCCUCUGGAGGGAUUCAGCCUCUUCUAGUCCGAGCCAGCUGGAAGUCCCCAGAAAGCAAAGUUGACCAGAGGCCCAUCGCUGGGAGAUUCCCAGUCAUCCAGGACAAUGCAACAGUCACGGGGGAGUGAGCAGAGCCCUGGAGUGGAGCAAGGCACCAUCUCACAUGGAGUGCGUGUCAGUGCCCUUUCAAGUCAGAGCUCCAUGCAGCUCAAGUGCACAGCUGCCCCUGCCCUUAAAGCAGCAGGCAUAGCCAGUCAGCAAACAGCAUCCAAAGACAAGAGGGGGGUCACAUCCUUGCCUUUUUCUAAUAAAACAGGGUCUCUCUGGCCCCAGGGCUUCUUUGGGC